UCCAUCUAAAAAAAAAAAAAAAAAAAAAAUUCUUAGAAAUUAAUAAGGAAAAAAAUUGACCUUUCUUCCAGAAAAAUGAACACAAUCAAUCUAUAAGAAACACAAUUGGUGAGUUACAUGAAUACAACCCCAAUUUUAAAGAAAUACAAAUUAAACAAUAGUGAACUAACAUUUUCUCUAAUGAGUAUUCAAGAUUAAAAAACAAAGUCAAAACUAAAUGAUAACAAAUUCAAUGUAUUGAUUAAAGUCAGGACAUUCUUAUUCGUUAGCAAUAAAAGUGAAAGUUUGAGUCGCCUUCUAGAAUUCAAGUCACACUAUGAACCAACAAUUUUACUUCUAAGAAUUUAUCCUAAGGAAAUAAUUAAGAAUAUGUGAAAAUAUUUAGCUACAUCAUUGUUUAUUAUAGUGGAAAACUGAAAAUGUGCCAAAAAAAAAAAAAAUGAGCCAAAUAUUCAGCAGUGGGAAUUAGCACAAUAUACCUUGAUAUGUUAUCAAGGUAAAUGUGUAUGAUAGGAUACUGAUGCAUAAGGAUAAUUUUCAACAUGGUAGAUUUUCAUUAUGUUAAAUGAAAAAAUAAAAAAUACAUAAAAUGUGAGCCCAUUUUUGUAAUAAAAAAUAUAUUUAUAUAGUUAUUCAAGGAAAAACAUCUAGAAGGACAUCACAAAAUACCAACAGUAGGUAUGAUUCAAAGUCUUAUAGGUGGUUUUCAGCAUAUAGAUUACUCCCAGCAAAGAGACCUCUCUGACACUUGGUUUCUUCAUCUGUGAAAUAAAGAAAUCAUACUAGAUUAGUUCUAAAUGUUUUUAGAAAAGUAUUUCAUAAUUCUAUAAGUAAUGAUGAUUAAUAACCUUGAGAACAUUGUUAUUUUUUUUUCAUUGAACUUCGGAGUUAGUAGAGUAAAACCAAGUUUAUCUUGAGCUAUCCCUUGUUUUAUUUAAAAUUCACAUCCUGGUGUUUAUAUAUAUGUAUGUGUAUAUAUAUAUAUAUAUAGUGCUUUCUCACAAAUGCUUGUUUUGGUAUGGAGCGGGUUGGGCGGGUACAGACUUUCAUUGAAAUUAGGUACAGAAUUCUUAGAGACACAAAUUAAAUCUUGUUAAUAUGUUAUAUACAUUUUCAUGUUUCAUCUACCAUUUGAAACCAUAUAACCAUUUGAAAUCUUGGUUUUGGUACGUUUCUUUAAUUAACAUUCACAUUGAAAAACUGUAAGAGAUUCAACCCUUGAAAAAGUCCUUUUGCUAAAGAGAUUUUCAUGUGCUCUAAAAAUUGGUGGAAAAUAGUUCUGCUCUUAUUAUCAAAUGAAUGUCACUCUACUCUUAUUUCUAGCUAAUAGUAAAACCACCUGGAAAAUGAUAACAUACAAUAAAUAUCUCAAGUGGUCAUUUAGUACUUUGUUGCGAUAAUGAAAUAAAAAACACACUCAGUUUUAAUUUGCUGUUAAACACUUAACAUUUCACAGUGGCUGUUUGGAGGCCGUAUACAAUGAUAGAAAAAGUGGCUUUCUAAAAGUGCUUUGCCUCAUUCUUGCUUAACCUGGCAGACGUCAUGAAUUUCCAAGAGGGAACAUAUUUUAUUUGCCUUAUACCACCAGAGGAUUUGGCCAAUUAUUGCUAUUUAUUUAAUGUUGGUGUUGACAUAGUGCCUUUUGCCCUGAGGAGCUCCAGGUGCUUUAUAAAAUUAGUCAGCAAUUCACAUCACGGUCUUUACACCAGAGAGUGAACACUGAAAAUAAUAAUGAUUCGUGGAACCUACAGCCACCCCUAACUCGUAUUUCUGUUUGCCCAGUGAAACAAAACAAAUAUGCCCAGUUCCCUCAGAGAGCUAGCAGCAAAAAGUUCUAGUGGGGCAUCAUGGGAGUUUCUCUCUUGUGUAACUAGGUGAACUCCUGUGAGGAAAAUUUGCCAUGCACCCUACAGAGCUGAGACUUACUAUUCUCUGUUCUAAGACCCAUACCUUCUCUGUUCUAGGACCCAGUAAGGAGCUCCAGUUUUUUCAGGCCUUUGCUCAAAUAUCAUUUUCUUCAUAAGACUUUUCAUGACCAUCUAUUUUUAAAAACAGCUAAUCCAAACCUAUCAUCAAGUGCAAAGUUUCUGUAUCGUCAUUCCUACAUUAUUUUUCUCUGUAGCACAUGUAGCUAUUCAGCACACUUAGAUUUUUAUUUAUUUAUUAAUUAAGGGUUGACUCCCUCCCACCAGAUGAAGAACGUUUGUCUAUUCUGUUCAAUUAUGAAUUGAAAAAUUUCUGUUCCAAAUAUUGGUAUUUGAACUGUGUAUAUACUGCCCCCUUUUUCUAUAAAAUACUAAUGGAAGUUCAUAGAUAUAUACAAUUCACAGAUAAUGUUACAAAUUUAUUUCAGAUGUUACUUCUUGCCUUUUUCUAUGCCAAGACACUUAACAAAUACUUCAAAAUUGAAAGCAUUUUAUUUUUACUCCUUAUUUUAUCUGUUCCACAAAAUAGUUAGAGCUAGAGGAAGAAUUAUAUAAUAUAUUUAUCAAUAAGUCAACAUCCUAUUAAUGAAUGAACAUAGAACCAACUCAUAGAAAGCACAGUCAGAAAAUCAAGGUGUGGCUUGCUUGGCAUGAAAACAUAAUGCCCACAAGAACUACUGUUGUUGAUUAUGCUGUACUGUAUGAGAAAGGCAUUUCUGACAUUAGCUUUGAUACUAGCCUUUUAGUAAACGAGUAAAGUUAGUUAGUAUACUCACCCACUUCAGAUUAUCAAUUCAGUACUAACUCAGUAAUUUGGUGUUACUACAUACUGAGAUAUCUAGCUGGAUUCAGGAUUUGCUCAAUUCAAUUAACAAAUCCAGUGUUAUGGGGGAAAAAACCUUUGUGGGUAAGCAUUUCUAAAUUAGUGUUUUUAUGAAGCCACAAUAUUCUGGUAGUUCAUCUUUUCCUUCAGUUCUCUGAAAUUGUAAUCAUUUCUAAAUUGUUGCUUUCCAGGUAAAAGAUGUGAGAUAGGGAAAAGGAAGGCUUUCUUAUGAAUUUUUUUCUUUCAUUGCCCAGUUAAAUUGGAUUUAUGAUUUAUAUCCAUUCAUCCUAUCCAUACCCAUCAUAUAUCUGUCAUAUAUCCAUCCUAUUCAUAUCCAAUCUAAUUCAUAAGACUUUUCCAUCUUUUUUCAUGAGAUUAGAUUUUUUUUUAGCAGGUGAGAAGAAAUAAAAGGCACAUAAUACUAACAUGUUCCUGGCAUUCCAACAGAUAAUAAUGCCAUAGCAAUUUUAUAAAGAUUAAAAAUACCCUAGCUCAUUAUGACUUUGAUGGGCCCAAUGCACUUUUGGCUUUGUGGGUCUGCUCCUCAUAAAAAAUACAAAAUUAUAUUUUGUUGAUGCAUUUAUGUAAAGAUAAAUGUAAUCUAAACUGUAUUGUACUCAUUUAUUUUUCAGAUUUUAAAAGAGAUUUAACAUUUCUAUGAGAUCCUAAAAUUAUCAUGAGCUCUAGAAAUAGUGCUUACUACGCUAUUGGAUAAACUAAGCUGGCAUUGUCAUAGCUAAAUUGGUUACGUUUUAAGCUGUGAAUGAAGGGGAAUUUGGUAAACCAAACAACUGUUUUAUGCCCAUUGUUCAUCAUUCCAGUAUAAAUAUAUUUUUACUAUUAACAUUAGUUAUUACAAGUGGAGUGUGAAGGAAUGGAGUCAGGGUUUGGAAAGAGCGCUAAUGCAAGUAUUUGACUCCAUCAACAAAACUUUAUGUAAAAAUCUUCAGGUUUUGUGCCUGUAAUCUUCUUAUAGGAUUUAAUGCUAUUUUACUUUGUCAAAAAAUUUUUUCUUCAAAGAUUUGUAUUUUUAAAUGACUGAUGCUGUGAAAGAAAAUGCCCUCAUGAUUAUAUUUGUAUUGUGAAUUUUUACAGUAGGGACAAACUAGAAUUUUUCAUGCAGAGAGCACCUUGGGUUUUACUCACUAUAGCUCUUCAAAGUUCUUCAAAGUUCAAAGUAAAAAUUGAUGCUAAUUUUCCUAUAACCUAGGUGAAAAGCCCACAUAUCAUUUAACAAAGUACACACUCAUUCAUAUUUAACACAAACUCUUUUUUCUUCUGUUGAAGCCGACUUUAUCCAAUUUUUAGUUUCCAGUUAUCUAUGGUUCUGGGAAACAGAGCUAACUUGGAUUCAUUAAUACUGUAAACAAGUGUUUCUUGAGAAGCUCCUGGUUAUGAACUACCUAGAAUGAAACUGGGUAAACUAAUAUCAACAUCCAUUCUUUUGCCAAACAUCACUGAUAAACUGCAACUUUUUUUUUUUUUUACAUGAGUGGUCUUGGAAUCACAUUUCUGCAUUGAAAACCCAGCACUGUUGCUGACUGGCUGCAUGGCCUAUAUCUACUCAUGUUUCUGACGCUACCAGGUUCCAGGCACUGUUCUAGGCACUGAGGAUGAAAAGAUGAAUAAUAUGGAGUUCCCAUCUUCAAAAAAGUUACAAUUUAAAGGAAGACAGGCAAAUGAAAGUUACCCCACAAAAUAAUAAAAAUGCAGGGGUAAAACUAGGGCAUAGUUAUAUUUUGGCUUGUCUCUUUACCUCUGAGAUUCUUUUGCUUUUUAUGUAAUUGGAUUUUAACCUCAGGAGACUGUUAGGUUUAAAGAUGAUAAUGUAUAAAACGUAUCUAGCAUAGGACCUGGGAAAUGCUCGUACAACAGAUUCCAAUUGUAUCACUUUUUUUUUUAUUAUAAAGAACAAGUCAAAAUGAAAAGACUGAAGAAAAAUAAAUCAUCAGUUAGCUAACUGGUCCCUGAAUGUGAGAGGUAAGACUAUAUAUAAAUAUGUUAGUAGUUCAAUAGACAGUCUGUUAAUACAUCUGUAUAUAUUAUUUAGCCCAGGUAUAGAAAUAGAGGCUUCAUCUGAUCCACAGCGAUUAUAAAAGCAAUACAAAGCAAUAGGCUCUUACACAAUACUUUGAGUAAUGAUCAGAAUUUUCUGUUGCCAUCCACACAUUUGGGUGAGAUGUAGUGAGUGCUAGAAAAUAAAACAGUUUGUAUUAAAAAGGGUGUGUUAAAAGAAAUAAACUAAUCCUUGAGAAACAUUGUCAUGCAAUCUCAUAUCUAGAAAUUGUGCCUAUGUUCUGGCUAUAAAUUGUUGAAUUGGGAAGGAGUUAUAUUUAGGACACACAUUGACACUACAUAUGACAUUUGAAAAAACACUUGCUAAUUCAACUAACAGCUCGCUUCUCCCCACUACUCACUGUGGAGAGAGCUUCCAGCUAAUACUUAGAAUCUCGCAGGCCAACCACUGAUGGAACCCGGUGCUAUGUGAUUGUAGGAAUUUCUUUCUUGCUCUGAAUGUAACUAAAAGUAAUGGGCUUCUUAUUUUUUCCUUUUCCUUUUGUGUUAUAGAUGGCAAAGACUGUUUCUCAUCAGUUUCAUAUAGCCAAAUUAGGUUUACCUCUCAUGCUGACUGAGUAAAAGUGUUAAAUCCUGGGCACGUUGUCUCCUGAGUCCUCUGAAAUCCAUGUCAGAAUAGGAGUGCUCAUUACCAGACUUGAUGAGGAGCUCCUUUUCCAGAACUUCUCUCUAUUACACACUAAGGACAAAGCAACUCUGCCUAAAUUCCAAGCAACCAUGACCUGUGGCUGUCUUGGAACUUUUGCCCUCUGGCGUGGGUAGAACUAGCGUCAAUUGGGUAAUUCAAUCCCUAAGUUCCUUCUUCAAUGAAUGAGAGAAUCCAGGAAUGUGUUGCCAGUUGCCUUUUCCUUGUGCCCAGUUUUCCUUGCUGCAGGAUGAUGACAGUCUAUUUCCACACCUCCCCUCCUGCCACUACAGGAUUUAUGAUCUGCAUGCCCCAGUUGUGAAGCUGGCAUGUAGCAUUUUGUUGCCACAGGCCUGUGAGUGUUUAGAAGUUUGUGUUUGUAUUUCCGGGGCUACAGUUUGAAUAUUGAAGGAACAAACAGAUAGCAAACAAUUCAGAGGUCAAGUUGUGACUGCUUCCUCAUUUGGAGAGCUUAUUUUAUGUCUGUAUAUUCUAUACUCAGAUUCCCACAUAACUUCUGUUUUUUCCACCUUCAUUGCUUUGGUUAGAUGCUUUCAAGUGCAUUUUUUUUCUGUAAGAAAUCCCCAUAAAAGAGUUGUUUACUUGAAGUGAUGGGUAAGCAAAGUUUGCCUGACGUGGAACCUCAGAAACUUUCCCCUAAGGAAAAGGUCUGGCGUGUGGGUGGGCGCUCUUCCAUCCAGACGGAUGGGAAUGUAGCCAGGCAGCCAGGAGACGCAUUGACUUGUGACCACUGGGAAGGAUGCCUAGCCAGAAAAGUCCCAGCAGCUGGGUCUGUUAAUCUUUUCUGAAUGAACCAGCAGGCAUUUGACCUCUCUAAACCUGUCCUGGAUUCCUUUGUAUCAUUGUAAUCAUCUUUUUACUCCCUCAAGAGUUCCCCUAUAAAGUUGUUCUUAAUAAAACUCUUGCCCACUUCCCCCUGACCUUCUGAGUUGAAUAUGAAUUUCACUAAUCCGUGAAAGAAACCACCAUGACCUUCAUAAAGCCAUUUCUACUCUGUUUGGUUCCUCCCUUCUAAGAAUUUGUUCAUUCAAGCAAGUAUUUGAGUCUAAAUGGAUCCACUUGGACAUUUUAACAAUUAUCAUGAACCUCAGUAUCCUUAAAGUGUAGCUAAAACAGGCUCAAAAAAUUCAGAUAGCGUAAUCUACUUUCUCUUUCCCUCCUCCAAAUUUGAGUGGAUUAAUUCACUUCACCAUGCCAGCAUCUGAGUACAGAAUAAUUUAUUUCUGUGUCAUUUCAUGAUGAAAGCCUAGCUGGCAUUAGCUCAAAUUAUGCUGCUGGCUAUUAAUUGAAGAGAACUUCCCUGUCACUCCUCAGUCAAACACGAUCUGAUUCAACAGAUCCUUUUCACUCUCAUCCCUUCUAUUCUACCAGAAGAACAAAUGUAAAUAACUUUCACUUGGCUCUGCUUGUCAUGGAUUAUAAAUUACCUGACAGCAUUCAGACUGACCACAUUACUGUUUUGGGGGCUGCUUGUUUCAGUUGAUUAGUAUUUCUAGGAGAGUUUCGUACAUUUCAUCUCUGAGGCGCUAAUGAUGUCCACUAGAAGGAAAUAUUGUAGCCUGCCUUUGUUUUUACAUACUGUAUAACUAAUUUUCAAUCUAAUUUCAACAAGAUGUCAAAUUCUAGCACCUGUAGGGCAAGUGCUGGUCUUCUAUGAAUUGAUUAUAUGUUUUUCUAUCAUACUUGAUGGUGUACAAGCCCAGGUUGUAUUUUAAAUAGAACCCCAGGAGAGAGAUUUGUUCUGGAAUUUAGAAAUAUAUAUUAUGUGCCAAAAUUAUUUGAUGAGUGCAUUUUGUAAUUCUUAAAAUACAAAACUACUUGGCAUGAAGAGAUGCUAUAGUAUGUUAAAAAUUGUGGAACUUUUUCAUAAGAUGAAAUUCUGUGCAGAAAUGAGGUAGCAGAAUUCUUGUGGGAGUGCUAAAAUGGUUCAUCAAUUUGAUCCUCACUGCAUAUGAGAAUUCACCAAUUAUAUUACUCUCCGAAAAUAUGUUUCAGUAUCGAGGGCCUCUUUUUGCCCUUCCUCCAUCCCAGUGUCUAUACUCUCCAUACAGUGUGAUCACUGGGUGCUGCAUGACUAGUCAUUAUUAUGCGCUCAGCCCUGAAAAUGAACUUAAGAUGGUAAAAUCAUACCUUGCCAGGGUUUGGGUGGCUGUGAGGGAUUCAGUAUGAUUUUAGCAACAGGGACUGGAAAAGAAAUCAGAACUUGGCAGAGAAAAAAAAUAGCACUAGGAUACUAGAAGAGACCUGGGAGAACUAUCUUGACCUUAGAGGCUCGUCUUGUGAGUCAUUUGAGAAAUAGUAUCAAAAGGGCAUAAGAGGGCCUGGUGUGGAUUAGACUAUUUGGGGUUACAGGAGAUCCAAAGCUAGAAGGGGCAACAAAACAUUGUGGUAUGAGGCCAUCCUAGUUUGAACAUCAGGCACAGGAUCUAGUGUUCUCAAAGCAGAUCUCAGGGAAUGGGCAGCCUGAGAAGAAGAGUAGAUCAUGCAGAAGCCAGAAGUUACCCCUAGAUACAGAUCUGAGUGUCAUGACCUAGACACAGUUAGUCCUUAAAUGGGCCCCACCCUGGCAGGGUUCUUUCAUGAACUCAGGCUGAGCCUGAAGUGAGUAGAUUCAGCUGAAGGGAAGGUAAAGAACUCUAAGUUGAUAGACUUGCAAGAUGGAGAGGCUGCUUUCAGGAAACCAUUGAUGAUGUUAUCAAUCACAUUGAUAAUCUAUGUGAUUGCCCUUUUAUAAGGGUAUGCGCUUUCUGCACAAUUAUGAGAAAGUAUUUAGCCAAACCUGUAUUCCCUAUAUAAAGGGGGAGGAGAUAGUAUCCCAUGGGGAAUUCCUUCCCAUAUUAUAAACUGGUAGACAACUUAAGCAAAAAUGCUUUUACUCGUGUGAACACUGUUGAAGUAUAAAGCCAGGGAUUUAAGUCAUGAUAGGUGCUUAUUUAUUUUGAACAUUUGCCAGAAGUUUGAUGAUGGAUAUAUUUGUAGACUGGGUGUUAGAGGUUGUUAUAUUCUAAAAAGAUACCUUCUGAUUAAUUUUCUUCGUUUGUAACAACAGUCUAUUUUGGUAACAUUUAAUUUAUGAACUUUGGUGUCAUGUUAGACUUUAUAAAUUUUGGUUGUACAUACCCUGCAAUGCUUACAGAGAGAGCCAGUCAGGCAGUAAUUGCUACAUAUUGAGUGCCUUCUAUUUUCUGAGCACUGUUCUAAAUUCUAGAGAUACAGCAGUGAACCAGACAGAGUCUCCAUCCUAAAAGAGCCUAGUGGAGGAUGGGAACUGAGGUAGUAUUUGUAAUUGUCACAGUAUAGUACCCUUGCUUCUUCAGAUGCCAUUAUUAAGGGCAUCCCUUUCUUUAAAUUCUGAGAUCCCUUACUUGACUCAGCUUAUGCCAGAACUGAUGAGAAUUAGACCUUCCUAAGGUCUUCUUUCUUCCUAAAGUGAAGAUUGAAAUAAAUCUAUAAGAUAAAAAUAAUCCUACUACCAAGCCCCACUUAAGACUGGAUUUUUAACUUGCUCUUCUCAGCACAAUGACACAACAGAGAACACAGAGGUUAAUGGAAAGUCUUUGGAGCAAAGGAUAUUUCAAAACCACCAGUUUGUUAGAUUUGAUGAUCAGCUCUGCAAAAUGUUUAAAGAAGAUUUCUUACUCACAUCUUAUAAGUUAAGACUAUAAAUGGUUUAAAUGGGGGAGGAUGUGACAGGAUUGAAAAUCUUCCCCUUCCUUCGUGGCUAUGAGAAUUCACACUGAGCAACAGGGGAAGAGAAGGAACUAGAACUUGGAAUGAGCUUAUGUGUGGGCCCUCAUUGUUCCAGGAUUUACAAAGGGCUACGCUAUCAUCAUAUUAAACAAAUGGCUCUUGCUCUUUGUGCCAGCUUAAUUGCCACCUUGGCUCCCGAACAAAGAAAUCACCACUGAGGCAAAACAUGUUUGCUAUUGAAGGCAAAACCCGCUUAGAGCAAUUUUUGGGUUGUUUUUCCAUUUAAUUUUUUAACUUGCAGAAAUAGCCCUCUUUUUUCUGGUUUUUGUUGUUUUUUUGUUUGUUUGUUUGUUUUGUUUUGUUUUAAAUGAUGUACCCUUGUGCUGUUAAGUUUUAACAUGGAAUACAGGCUUUAUGUAUUUAGGCAGUAGUGCUGAGUUAGAUACUGGUACCAAAAAAAGGAAAGAAAGAGAACAAGAGGACGGCACAUGUCAAAAUGCCUGAUAGAACUGCAUGGACAGAACUAAAUGUGCUUCCCUACUAUUAGUUACAUGUAUAAGUCACAUCUCAAAGUGUGUUCCCCAGGUCAGCAUCAAUAUAACCUAGGAACUUGCUGGAAAUGCAAAUUCUCUGGUUCCAUCUCAGGCCUAAUGAAUCUGAAACUCUGGGUAGAAGGGAGUGGCCCAGUAACCUGCAUUUUACAAAGACCUCCAGGACACUCUGAUGUAUGCUAGAGUCUGAGAUCCACUGGUGCAAAGAAUACCACAGGACAGAUGUAGACUAACUAAACUAGUUCUGUUUCUCUUAAAAUGACGUUGACAAUAUUUAGAAUUUUGAAGAAUGGUAUAGAAAUUCAUAGCUCGUGUGUGUGUGUGUGUGUGUGUGUUUGUGUGUGUUUUAGCAGAAUUCUGUUUUAGAAAAUAUGGAGUAGACUCUCUUUUAUCUAGUUUUGAUAUUUUUGUUAUUUUUUAAAAAUUAAGAAGUAAGUAGAGAAGUAUAGCCAGCUACUUCCAUAAUUUCGUAGAAAUAAUGAAGUUUAUUCUAGCAGAAAUGUAUAUCUUAUGGAAUAACUUCCCUAAUAUUCUGUCUAGACAUAUAUUCUUUUUUGAGGCAGGAAUACAAAAGAAAAUUGGCUUCUGCAUCAAAUUCAAAGAAAUGGUGUUUUAAUUCUGUAGAGAAGUAAUUUCAUUUUCUCAGAGAAAUGGGUAGACAGAUAUUAGUAAUUUAAUUCUCUUCUUAAAUGAUGGCUGCUAUAGUUCUUACCAACGCUGAAAGAAGUAGAGUCAAAUAGAUUUAAAUCUGGCUAGUGAUUAGAAUUUUUUUUGGGGGGGUAGGGUGGGUGAAACUGUAUUGCAGGGAGGUCUGUUGUAAUAAGCUGACAGCUAGUUAUCAUGCACUACCCUGCAGUUCUUUGACAUGAUAGCUAAGGGCAUAGACAAAAAUCUGAACUCUAUGGUCUUUGUACAUAACUGCAUUCAGAUUAAUUCACUUAAUAAAUAUUUGUGGAGCACCUACCGUAGACUUAUCACUAUAAUGGGCUAAGGUUGUACAGUGAGCAGGAUACUCACAUACAUGAUUCUCGUGAAGCCGGAGGUCCAAUGGUAAAGCUAGAUGAGUAAACAUCAAUUAUAGUGAAGUAUAAUCACUUUCAGGAUGAGGCAGAAUAUAGGAUGCUAUGCAAGCAGUCAUCCUUGAUUUCAGGACUGGGUGAUGGAGAGUUCAGGAAUGGUUCAUGGAAGAGGCACUAAAGCUACAGGCUGAAUAGAAAUUAGCAAGGUGACGGACAGGCCAGGCAGAGAGAAGAGCAUAUGCAAAGUUGAAAAGUGGAGAGUUCUUGAUGUUACCACGUUACUGAACAUACAUAUCGUGGAGUUUAGGAUGCAGAGAGGACAGUUGCACAUGGUCUGGAGAAUAAUGGGAGAUGAAGCUGAGAGUAAUGCAGGGAACAGAAAAUAGCAGGCCUUGCUAUCCAUGUUAAGAAUUCUGGACUUCAAUCCAACAAAAGGGAAAGCCUUUGAGUUUGUAGUAUUUGGCUGUGCUGUAGAGAGUGUAUUGGGGAAGGACAGUGCUGAAGGAAAGGAGACCAGCUGGGACAUUGCUGCAAUAAUUCAGACCAGUCAGUACUCAUGGCUUGGACCAGCAGCAAGGGGAGAAUGAAAAGUAAAGAGAUUUAGGAAAUAGCUACUUAGGAAACAGAUUCAACGGGACCUGGCAUUUCAAUAUAUAUGACAGCAAGGAACAGGAAGACACUUGGGACGACUAGAUGAACAGUAGGCCAUUCACUGAGUUUGGAGUCCAUCAAGAGGAGUGGGUUUGAGGGUGAAAUUAUGUGUUCUAUUUGGGCUAGUAGAGUCUAAGAAGUCUGUGGUUGUCCAAGUAGAGAUGUCCAAUAAACUGUGGAAAAUGCAACCCCUUAUGCCUCUCUAUUCUCAUAAAUACUUUUCAUGCUUUUUCACAGCAGAGGCUAAAGCCAAACAACUUUUACAGUCAUUGAUUACUUCUAUAGUGAUCGGGCACUACUCUUGAUGUCAGUUUAAGUAUUAUGUGAAUUUUAGAGUUGCAGAAUUUUCUGCACAAAAUCCUAGAAAGCAACUUUGUUUACUCAAUGAAACCUGCCUGCCAACUAACAAGACCUAUUAUCUUUCAGUGGGGAUUUUAUUUCAACAAUGGAAACUAUGACAGAACUGGGAUGGUCUAACCCCAAUUUGAACACUCUAUUCUCGUUUUCAUUAGGAAUCACUUCCCUGUAAUCAUAAAACAUAAAUAUAUUUACUAUAGACGUGUUGUUUGGUGAAAGCAACACUAAAAAUGAGUAGAUGAAUAUAAUAGCUAAAGGAUAAAACAGGAGUUCCCAUUUUUAAAAAGAAGGACUAUGUUUACAACACAACUCUCCUUAAUUCUAUAGUGUUAUUAUAGCAGUGAAUUUUCAAAUAAAAUGUUAAAAUUGGAAUGCUAGAAGUUUUCUUCUAUCAUAUCAAAUAAAUGGAAGGUCACCUGUUUGAUGAUUACAUAUUCAAGUGAUAGUUCUCAAAAAGUAAAUAAAAAUCUCAUAUAAAUUAUAAAUCAUUCUGCAAAGUUUUGCCUCAUAUUUUCUCCAUAAUUAUGAAGCUUCUGAAGUUAUUUUACUUUUGAGAAGCCACAGAUGGUCUUAAAAAUUAAUAUAAAUUCAAUAAAUUUCAACUAGCCUUGAGGAAUAAAGAGAGCAAGGAUUGUCAUCAACACAAUUAAGAAUGGCCAAAUCCUAUUAAUGUUUUCAAAUUACCAAAUUAGAAAAGUUAGGAAGCAUGAAUAAUUUAUUUCUGACAACAUAUCCUUUUUAAUAUCUGCAUUACUGUGGUCUGCUAAGGAGACAAACCUACUCAUGUGACAUACCAUGUGUAAAUGUUUUCCUAAUUAAUAAUUGGAAAGUUUCUGUGUGAAACACAAACUUUCUAAUCAUACAUAAUGUAGACUACAGGCAGACAGUUAGGAGUUGGUCAAAGCUGUCAAAGCUUCUUUUAUGGAAAUCUCUUUUCCUGUGAUCUUUAUCCUAUUCCAGAUACUCAGAACUCUUUUUCUCUAUAGUACUUAGAUAACACAGUGUUUAUCCUCACAUCCUAUCAUAGCUUUUAUAUUAACCACUCAGCAAAUAUGUGUGCAUGCACAUACACGCACACCCAUACAUAUAUAUAUUUAACCAUCUAGAAACUAUAUUAAAUCUUCUGUAAACUUCAGAUAAGCCUGCUUAAAUUGGGGGUGGGUCUUAUUGUAGCAUACCAAAUGGUUUAUAUACCAAGUAUAUAUUUGUCAUACUAUGUGGAACAGUAUUAUAUUUAAAACUGAGGUCUUAUUUCAUGUAGGUUGUACCAAAUUUGUGGUGGUAAACAUUGCAUUUAGCUCAUUCACAAAGAGUGCAGAAAUACAGAUUAUCCAUGUUUUUCUGUAGUGCCACUCAGUGUAAUAGGUAAACAAUACAUCUCAUAUUAAAGAAAAAAGAGAGUCUUUUCAAAAGCUUGUAAGGGUCUGAAUAAAGGUCUUGGAAAUGUGUCAUAACAGCUGAAAUCGAAGAGAUUUGAAAAAAGUGGGAGAAGUUAAAUAUUGCAGAUGCAUAGAGCUGAGACUUCUUCAUUGGAAGUUGGGUAGUUCCAACUUUCAUGUUGAAAAUCUUUAAAAGUAGCCAAAAGCUAAUUUUUUAAAUCACAUAUUACAGAUAGAACUGCAUGUGUAUUUGAUAUAUUCCAUAUUUGUGUAUCCAAAAUUAGCAAAUCCAUGGUAUUUUUAUUCUUUGUUUUAGAUAUUCUAAUCAUUUCAUAGCACUUUCAUUACACAUCUGCCCAGAUUUCGUAUUGCUAAAUUUUAGACACUAUUCUUUAAGUCUUGGAAGAGAUCGACUUUUUCAGCACAACCCAGCCCAAACAAUGUAGUGUUACUGUACUAUAUGAAGACAACACAUGUGCUGGUCUUGUUCAGGCAUUUACUGCAUUUUUAUUGAAUGUCAAGUAUGUGCCAGGCAAAGUCCAUCUAGGGAUUUUAGGAUUUCCAGGACCUGCCAUUUAUAAACUUCCUGUAAGAAAAAUUAACCCCCUCAAAAUGGGUGUUGACAUCCAGUUUGCCUUUAUCGCUCCUCUGAUGCCUUUUAAAAACUAUAUUUACCCAUCUUAUGUCAAUAAAAAGGAUGUAUUUAUUAUAAGUUAUGGCAGGUAGUAUUUUAUAGACAACUUUAUAGCCCACAUGUUAAAGGUAAAAGUGAAGAAAUUAUGCUACUUUGCUGUAUUUUCCCAGUGAUUUAUGUAAGUAUUUACUCCCGGCAGGAAAAUGCUGUAACACUGUUGCUGACAACAGGGCCCAAAUAAGUAUCAGCUUGAUGUUCUGUAAUACCUAUUAUCUUAUUUGUUUUUGCAUAAUCCCUAGGAGGUAAAUAUAUAACACUUUGGUUUCAUUAGCAUCACAACACAUUAUUAGGCAAAUCAACAGAAUGAAAUUAAAGUUAUAUUAUCUAAUUGAAAAAAGCCUUCACUUACAUUUUCAAGCAUUAGUUCUUAUCCACUUUCAAUCACCUGGGGAACUUUAAAAAAUCUGAUGCCUGGGCCAGACACCCAGAAAAAUGACAUUAGGCUUUCUGGGGACAGGACCCAGGUGACUGUGUUUUUCUAAAUGUCUUUCAUGACUCUGCUGCUUUAGAGGUUCACAGACUUCCACUUAAAGAACUGCUAGUUAAGAAAUGGAUCCAUACUUGCUCUGACUCCCAGAGAUAUCACUUUUCACGUGUUCCUAUCAUUUAGAAAAAAAUGAUUUGAAUCAGCUAGAUACAUGAUAGAGGACCCCCCACUACACACACACACACCAAUCUAAGCACAAAAUUAUCUUGUUGUCCUCAAUAGUUUGCAUGGAUAAGUAAUGCAAAAUAAGUAUCAUACCCAAUAUUAAGAAAUUCUUAACAAGAAGCCCAAGUUUUCACCUUGUUUCCUAUUUUUUCCUUCAGCCAUCACAUUCAAACCUGGCCCAAAGGUUUCUCACAUUCUAGCCUCCAUCACCACCACUAUUGCUUUCGCCUGGGCUUUUGGCAAGCUAGAAAUUGCCAGACUUUCCUGACAACAGGCUCUGUAAGAUUCAGUUUAAAGCUUACACUUUGGCUGGAGCUCAUCCUCCUAACAAGAGACUGUGAUAUGUAAAUCCACAACCUGAAAUCUCAUUGGCUCUCCAUUGCCUACCAAUAACCCCCAGUCCUCUACUCUGGAAGUCCUGGAUGGUGUAACUCCAUUGCACACAGGUUCAUCCCUUGAGGGCUCUUGGUAAUGGAGUACUUUCAUGUGCAUGCUAUUCUGCUGCUCUUGUGGAAAGAGUCUUCAACCCCAUUCUGUAUACCCUGGACACUCACCUUGUGAGACGCAGCUGAAGCAGACCUCAUUGUCUGGGACACUGUCCUUGGUUCUGUUGGAAGAAUUAGCCACCAGAUCCUUGAGGCUGUCUCAGGACUUUGGCUUCACCUUUACCAUAACAAUUGGAAUGCAGGCAAAAUAGUGUUUCCAGUUACUAAAAUAAGACUAUAGACCAUAUAAUAUGUUUGUUUUGUGCUUAUUUAACUCACAGGGGAAAAUACCCAUAUUUUUAAGACUCUGGAUUUAAAAAAUCUAGUUGAUUAAAAGAGAAUAUUGUUGCCUUGUCUGUUUGGUUUUGUUUUUUGGGGGGUUUCCAAUACAAUUGUGGAGCAAGAAAAUCAGUCUCUGGAAAAUAUGUCUAAAAUGCGAGAGAAGAUUCCAACAAAAUAAGUUAGAUUUCAGUUAAUAUGUGAAAAGCAUUUCUUCAUAUAUACAAUGUUUAUUUUACAUGGAUAAUUUAUGUAAAUAAUUGAAUAAAUAAUACUUUUGGGUUUGGGUUUUAGGGGAGGUUUUAGGUUUGGGUUGCAGUGGCGGCUUUUCAGCUGAUUCAAACAUCUAGUUUUCAGAAUACUCUGCCCACAUGAUUUUUAGAUAUGACUUGGCCCUAAUUGCUGACUCAGAUUUUCACAUUUUAAAAAGCAAUUGUGCAUUUUCAUAUACAUUAUCAAACAAGAUUAUAAGACUUUAAGGUAAGAAAGUAAAAGGGCAUUCACUAAUGAUCAUCAGAAUCACCUACAAGGGCCAGUAAACCACACAUUACCGGGCCUCUUCCCCCAAAUUUCUAAUUCUGUAGAUCUCUGGUAAAGCCUCCAAUUUUAUGUUUCUAAUAAGUCCUCAAGUGACACCAAUGCUGCUGGUCUGGAGACCACACUUUGAGAAUCACUGCAUUAAAUUAACAAUUUUAUUGGUUGAGUUUUCACCACAAUGUGCAUAUCUGUUGACUAACAAUGAAUAGCUUUGUUGUCGCCAAACACUGUAAUGUUUCCAAAUAUCCAUAUAUAGUCAUAGGCCCAGAGAAACAAACCACAUCUAUAUUAAGAGUGCUUUGUUGUUAUCAUUUGACCCCCACUUUAGUGUUUUUAAUUGCAUCGAUCCUGGAGAAAAAUAACUGUUUUCUAAUUUUGGCAUUACAGAUUUGCUAAGGCAAUAGAAAAUUCUCUUAAACCUUUAGAUUUUUAGUCUUCUAGUAAAUAUAAGCAUAUGAGUUCCAAGCAAAUUCUGAGUUUUAAAAAAUUUAAUAAAAUUGACAAAUGUUUUCAAUAAAAUUGGAGAGGCUCAUUUCCUUGUACAAAUAUUCUAAAAAUACAUGAUAAAAGUUCUAAGUGCUAUUUGUUGAAAGAUCAGCAAAAUAACUCUACAAGUAUUUGUGGGCAUGUUAUCUUUUAUGUGAUAUUGGUUAUAAACUUAAGUUAUAUGAAGACAGUGUGUUAGUUAAAUUAUGUUCUAGUCCUACCUUAAGGAAAUAAAAACAAUAAGGCUCUUAGUGACUUUCUUCUGCACCACUGCAGUACUUGCUAACAUGUUUUAAUAAUAUGUAGUUGAGAAUGAUGAACUCUAGGCAGCAGGGUGACUUGGAGAUACUAAUGGAAAUGCCCAGUCAAAAAGAGCCUGGACUAGACUGAGCUCUGAAGACUCCAAAUAACUUCCUGUUAUCCCACCAUCUUCUUAGAUGGUCCAAUCAUGCUACACUCAGUCUAGGGCAGUGACCCUGAGGAAUGGUAUGUUUGGCAAAAAAGAAACCAAAGAAGGGUAUUGCCAUGCUUUAAGAUUUUCCCACAUUUUUUUCAGCAUCUUGAAUGGGGUUUCUGAAAGUCUGAGGAGUGAACUGUGACCAAAAUUGCUGAUAUUUUGAGCUCAAAGAAACUGAAAUUUUUAGGAACUUGAACAUCCAUGGAUUUUGGUAUCUGCAGGGAGUCCUGGAACCACUCCCCAAAGAUCCCGAGGGACCACUGUAAUCUAAUUGAGGCCAAGUUUCAUGGGUAAGUACUUUUGGUAUUCUUCUUCCUUAAUGCUGAAAGAAAAUGCAGCUGCCUGAUGUAGAACAAAUGGCUUUUGAAAGCAAACACCAAAAGAUAAAAAUAAUGUGAACGGUAAAGAAUGACAUGCUACCAGAUACCGGUAAGAAUUUUAAGCGGCAUUCAAACACCCCUCUCUUUUCGGAGAGAGGACUAACAGUACAGGAAGAUGCAGGGAGGGUGGGGAGGGAUUGUCGCCGUGCAAGUAAAAAGAAAAUUACAGAGAGUGUUCAUGAAAUAUUCAUUUACACCUGCUUAUUGGUUAGAUGAACAGCCUUUGGUUCUGAGCUGGCUCACCAUUCCCAGGCUGGAAAUUAUUCACUUAAAUGCAACUUUUAAACAUUUUCUUAAAAUCCUCAAUGGAAACAGAUGUGCGCAUGCUGAGGGAACUUUUUUGAUCUGUUUCUAGAAGAGGGUUAAAUUAGAAAAAAAGCCAGUAUUUUUAAUAUUUAAUUUCAGGUGUAUAGCUAUGAAGCUAUAUACUUAAAUGCUUUGUAACAUAUGAUCAUGAAUAUAUGUAUAAACUUCACCCAGAAAAAUCCAUAAAGCUUUUGAUAAUAAAUGUGUAUAAUCUGGAUAAAUGAAAUACCAAUGAACGCAAACAUAAUUUAUUUCAUGUUUUAUGUCUUCUCUUUCUCAUUUUCUAUGUACGGUUCCUGUGUACUUAUGAAAUAACAUACAAAAUACAAUUGUAUUUAUAAUGAUUCAAUGGUAUUUUGCCCAAAUUCAUAGUCCUUUUUUAUAUGGCCGUGGAUUUCGAGAUUUAAACAUAUAUGGUAAAUAGUAUGUUUCUGUUAACUUCAGCAUAGCCCUUUUAGUAACAAGACAUUGUUACUAUAAAUUGAGAUUAUCUAUCCAAUGUGAGUAAAUACAUUAUUAAAAAUACGUUAACAUUUAAGAUGAACAAAUUGCAAAGGUUAAAAGGUUUCAGAGACCAUUACCUGUUACUAAAUCAUUUCUCUCUCCUGUUUACUAUUCUUAUCUCAUUGAGUUCCCUGCUGUCCUAGAAUAUCAUCCCUCUGUCUCUGCUUUAUUUAGGUUUUUUCUAUAUUCAACUCAGACCCUAUAUCAUGUACAAAGCCUUCUUCAAGUCUUUCAACACAGACUGGUUUAUUCCUGCCCUAAAAUCAUUUUUUAAUGGAAUCCAUGUGUUAAUUUUCCGGGGCUGCCAUAACAAAGUGCCACAGACUGUGAGUGUAAAUGGUACGAAUUGAUUUCCUGAUAGUUCUGGAGGCUGGAAGUCUGAAGUCAAGAUAUCAGCAGGGUUGGUUUUUCCUGAGGUCUCUCUUCUCAGCUUGUACAUGGCCAUCUUCUCCCUGUUCCUUCACAGGGUCUUCCCUCUGUAUGUGCCUGUGUCCUUAGCUCCUCUUAUAAUGACAUCAGUCACAUUUGAGUAGGGCCCACACUUAGGACCUCAUCUUAACUUAAUUACUUCCUUUCAACCCUGUCUCCAAAUAUAGUCACAUUUCGAGGUACGAGGACUUCAGUGUAUUGAUUUUGGAAGUGUAUGUAUAAGGACUUCAGCGUAUGAAUUUUGGAGGUAUAUGGUUCACCCUGUAACAGUCCAUGUUAGUUUCUCACUUCAUUAUUCUCUGAUUCUUCCAUGCAUAUUAGUUCUAUCUCCCCUAACAAGUUCAUCAAGGAUAAGGACUGAUCAUAUUUUAAGUUUUAUUUAUUUCGUUCACAGUUCCCAGUGGGCCGGUAUAUAAUAUUAAAUACUACAUAUUUGUUGUUUGAAAUUACUGGAAGAAGUAGUGUAACAGGACCAAAUGAGAGUCUCUUUUUCCAAUUAUUGCUGACUUUAGCUCCCUUAUCUGGACAGAAAAAAACAGUAGCAGAGGUUUGGGUCAGGCAGUGGUCAAAUGAACUGUCUCUGCUUUCUUUCUGGGAGGCCCAUCAGCAUUCUGGUCAGCAGGGGCAUUCUGGUGAAAGGAAAUGCUGAUCUCUGCAAAUGGGCAAAAGUGUAAAGAGCAUUGAGCCCAGCCUCAUACCACAGAAAACAAUUUGGGCUUGUAGAAAAUAAUUACCUAGUGAAGAGUCUUCUGAACUAGAAGCAGGUUUUUGGAAGGGGAAAUCAUAAACACAUUUGUGGUUGCAAGGUAGCAGAUUGGGUGAGCUGGAACUAAAACAAAUUUUGGUUCAAGAAAUUGUAUUUUAAGUUCUGAAGUCACACUUAAUUCUUAAUAAUUCUUAUUGUACACAUGCUAAUUUAAAUGUAAGAUGUUUACUUCAUUAAAAUGUCAACACUAAAAUGCUGGUUCAGUUUGUUGUAUUACUUUCUUCAGGUUUUGUUAUAUUCUAUUUUCAUAAUUUCUAGAGCCAGCAUUCAAAAGUAAUUUCUGUGCUUCAAAAGAGGAUCAUCCUAAAUUCAAAUUAUAUGUAAAUGUCAAAAAAACAAAACAAAACAAUAACCAUGUUGCUCUCGUACUAAACAUGUGUCUUUGGGCGGGUUACUAAGUCCAUGUGAGUCUGAGAUUCUCCAUCUGUCAAAAGGGAAUCAGAAUACCUACUUUGAGCAGUUGCUGAUAUUAACAGUAAAUAAGCAAUGCAGUUAGCCCAGUCAUGGCAAAAUAGUUGAGGCCAACAAAUGUUCCUUUUCUUUAUCUCUCUUCAGGUUGAAUUUUGCCCAGUAGAUAAUCCAUCUAUCGUAGAGAUAUGCAAAUGUGAUUGAUUCAUUGAUUGAAACAUUCAUUGUCCCAUUUAAAUAAUGUUUAAGUAUUAUUAUCCAGUGUAUCCUGGUUUCAUGCUGGAUGUUGGGUAAAUAAUGAUGAGAAGAAACAGGCAAUUCCAACUUUAAUGGAGAAAUGGACAUUAACUAAAGGUCUAAAAAUAUGUAUAAAAUUUUAAAAAAUCAGUGUUGUGAAGUAAAUAUAUACAGUGCCAGGAGAUUUUAUAACAGGGAGAGCUGUCUUUUUGGAGGGUAUGUAUAAAAUGUCAGGAAAUAUUUCUCCUAGGACGUAACAAUGAGCAGAGUUUCAAAGUAUGCAUGUGUGCACAUACGUGUAUGUACCCAUGUAUGUGUAUGUGUUCUAAUAGUAAUAGUGGUUAAGGUGGUGAUGGUAGUGGUGGUGUAGGUGAUGAUGAUGGUAGAAGAGGAGAAUCAAGAGAAUGAAAUAAAUAAAAAGAUGAGUGUCUGGGAACAGCAUGUGCAAAGUCCUGAUGUAGGAAACAGUACUGAAUGGAGAGUAUGGUUUACCAAGGGAAGGCUGAUGAGGCUGAGAUGAAGAGAGUUAACAGGAAGCCAAUAACUUGAGAUGAGGCUAGAGAGGAGAGCAGAGGCCAACUGGGGCAAAAUCUUAUAGACAUAUUAGGUCUUCUACCCUAAGAACAAUGGGAAGCCACCUGAUUUUAAGAGAAAGCUUAAUAGGCGUGUGUGAUUCAGUGCAGGGACUGCUACUGCUCUUAAUCCUCGAAAUAUCCUGCAAACCAGGUUGGCUUUAGUGGGUGGAAAAGUGAGGCCCAUACAUAUUCAAAUUUGUAUUUUGAAAAGAUUUUUUUUUGUCCUCCAAUGCUUUUGCCAGAAGAUAGAAAUUCAGAGUAUGUGUAUUUAUAGCAAACACAUAGAUGUUUCUUACCUAAUAGGUGUGUUUUCAUCAUAUUAUUUUUGCACAUAUGAUUCCUGCAUGAUCUGAGAUCUUUUAAUAUUCUAACAUACCUUAUGUUCUAAAUCUGUGACACUUAGAAAGAAAUGUUGAUUUGAACAUCCAAGUACAGGUGCUAAUUUGACCUAGCAAAAACGUUUUUUAAGGAAAUCUCUCUGCACUGAGCACUUGCAUUAUCUAGCAAUGGAAAAUUCAAACAAUAGAAUGAUUAUCAUAAAUUCCUUGGGACACCUUUGUUAUCAGAGAUGAAACCUUGGUCACCUGGCUUUAAGGGAAAGCUUAAUGAGCAUGUGAUUCAGUGCAGGGACUGCUACCCCUCUUAAUCCUAGAAACAUCAUGGGAACCAGGUUUGCACCAGUAAUGAAUUUUUAUAAUGUGAAUCUUUGAUUUUGUUUUGCUGGUAAGAAAUCCUUAUUUGGAGAUGCUAUGUAUGUGAGUUUAAUCUCAUUUUCCAUUCCUUCUUGAAGUUUUCUAGGUUAACCACCUGAAACAGUGGUUACUAUAAUCAGUAAAUAUUUAUAACAAAAGUAUAAGGAAUUGGGGAAUUUCCAUGUGGUAUGUGUCUUCACAACAAAGGUCAUGUUUCAAUAUGAUAUGAAUGCAUCUCCAUCCAAACUAUUAUUUUAACUGUAUGUUUUUCCCUCAGUCAGCAAUUUAUGUAACACAUAUAAUUCAUUUCAUCCAACUCCUAAUAAGAGGCCCCCAAAUUAAACUUGAAUUAUUAUUUACACCUUCUCAAUAUACAGUAAAUAUUAAUUGAAUUUAAUGACUAACCAAGGAGAUUUUAGUCAUUGCAACUGACUACAUGAUUAUAUGUAAAGGAUUCAGGAAUAAAUAGAGGGGUCUCUUAGUAUGAAGUUUAAAUAAAUACUUAAUGGUAAAAGAAAAAUUUGUCUGCAGAUUUUUUACAAUUAACUUUUAAAAGUUAUUAUCCCCUUAGGCUCAUUCCAUUCUGUUCCCUUUGUUUUGAAACACUAUUAUGACAUACUAUUGUCCAGUAAUGGAAUGUCAGAAAAUAGUACAUAUGAAAGACACAGUUCAUUCCACUGUUAAAUAUUGCAUCAUUGAAGGGUUUAAAUCCUAAGACAUCUCUUUGAUUUACCAACCCAGCCCAACUUCCUAUUUGCUCUCUGCUCCAUUUAGUAGAUUUCAUGCUGGAUGUUGGACUAAACAAGUCAAACACCUGCAAGAGCCCUCCAUCUGUGGCCAGAAAAGUGUUGCUGGUGCUAUAUUUUUGAUGUUUAGGAAGAAAUAUUGAUCUGCGUAACUAAGAUGGUCAUAAGGUAAUAUGGGGUUGUACUCAUCUGAUUCUCACAAAAUCCCAGGAUUCUCAGAACUAUACUGAUGUGCUGGAGAUGCUACUUAGGAAGUUAGAGGACCAGCAUGCAUGUCCUUUGGACUGAUGUAUGCCACCCCAUCAUCUGCUUGACCAACAACUUGAGCCAAGACACACCUGGGAUAUUUUGGUACUACCUAGAGACCCUAACUAAUUUUGCCAGGGUAGAUUGGUAGAAUCCAAGGAAAUAGUUUUGCAAGUGACACAAUUGGUGGAUGAUAUAAUAAGAUAAUGAAGACUAAAAUAAUUUGAAGAAGGGAAAUGGAGAUAUUUAGGCUAAGUUGCUCUACUUGCUAUUCUUAGAAGUGUUUUCUUCCAUUUAGAAGAAGAACCAUUGAUUAUAGAAUCACUGCUUUGAUGCAUUAAUUUGAUCAUUCUAAACAAGUGAUGAAUAUUGUCUUAUGUUAUUUGCCUCCAUUACUUAUCCUGACUAUCAUAGAAUAGCUAAGAAUACUUCUUAAGAAUGAGAGUUUGCAACUACCAGUCACAUAGGCCAGUAUCUGUUAACAAAAUGCUAGUAAUUUUGUUCAUUAAAUUUUAAACACUCAAUCUAUUAUUCCAUUAACACCUAUUGAAAUGGACAAUAAAUAAGGGCCAGAUAUAAUCAUGAGUAGGAGGGCUCCCUUUCUACUGAGAGCCUAUGGAAAGGACAACUAGAUUCCAGAAAAAUGUUCAACUUCCAGUAUGGCAUACUAGGAGAAAUAAAUUGGGGGUCUAAAGAAUAAUAAGCAGGAAAAAAUUUGGUUUUCUCUGAGGCAAUGAUUAGUUGAAGCCUACAUAAAUAAACCAAUUACAACAUUUUGACUGAACUGAGAAUAAUUACCCUCUGGUGGUCAACUCUUGUGGAAAAAUUAUGAAGUUCAGACUGUAAGCUGUCUAGGUUCUUAUUAACUUGCAUUGUUCUUAACUGAACUGAUUACAGGCAAAAAGGUCAAAACGUUUUGGCCUACCUAGGUAGCCAGAUGGUCUAGAGAUAAUUUUUUAAAUACCAAAUGACUAUAUUUUAUAGUGUCCCUUAGGAAACCAGGUUUUAAACUGUGUCCAAAGAGAACUUGAAUAGUUUUAGUUUUUUGAUGUUUCUUUUAUUUUUUCUUGAUUAUAUAUUAUAAUCAUUUUGUUAGAAAAAUCCAAACACUACAGAAAUAUAACUAGAUUGCAUGUUUAUAAUCUUCCCUUCUCUCUUAGAUAACUAUUUCUAAGAGUUUUUGUAUACAUAUUUAGAUUUUUGAUACAUGUAAAUAUAUAUAAUCUUUUUGCUAAAAUGAAAAUUUACAACAUGCUUUUCAAUAAACUUUUUUUUGCCUAAAAUUUCUUAGCUAUUUAUGUCAAUACAUGUCACUCUAUGAAGUUGUAAACAGAACAAAGCAGCGUACUCCCCAAGAGGACUCUUAGAUAUUUGAAAGUUGCCCAUAAUGAUAAAGUAAAUUUAUGCCUGACUUUGCUUGAGGAAACUAACAUCCUCUCCAUCCUGCGUUGAGGACAAGUGUGUUUCUUCGUGGCUGACACAUAUCUUGGCAGAGCUCAUGUGCUGCAACAGCACACAGUAUGGGGUAAGGAACAGGAUUUAAGUGACUUACUAAUCAAGUGUUGGCAAGAAAAGAGGAGACUUAUAGCACCCCAACCCUGCAUCAUCCCUCUUGCUGUCCUCUUUAAGGUGAACAUAAAGGGGAAUCUUCCCAGCUGGGGUACAGAUAAACCUUUUGGUUACCAGACUGUGUGGGUUUAGAUGUCAACCCUUUAUAGGAAUUGUCUAGGAAAGUCAGCUGUCCAGGCUUGGAGACCUUAAGCAAGCAUGGGAAGUUGCAGCCCCCUUUUUCCAGGAAAAGGCAGUCACCAGUCUUCUUGGAAGCUGCAUUUCGGGGAGGCCUGUCCAGAUGGGGUGGGGGACACUGCCAACAGUUAGCAUAUUGUCCAGACGACCCAGCAUGAGCUAUCUAGGUCAUGUUCAGACAGUACCACUCAUGGUGUUCUCUUGCUUAAAUCAUUGUUCCUGAGUAGCCUUGAAUAGUAACAAAUGUGAUAUCUUGACAUCAUCUGGUGGUUGGGUGACAACUGUUUAAUUUUCUAACACAGUUGGUUUCUGCAAUGCUUUUUCCCAAGUAAUUUAGUAUUGUCUUAUCCUGCUAUGUCUUCCACAAAGGGAAGAUAAUAAAAUCCUUUUAAUUAUCAUAAUGUUUGUCUACUUAAAUUUUGCAUUAAAAAUUUGUUAUAAUUG